GUUGGGCGAAGUGGGAGGGGCGAGCGCACCCGCCGGGUUUUUUCACCCGCGGGCUGGACUCCGGCUCCGGUCCACUGCCGUUUGCGGGAGGCCGGUGGGCUGCCCGGACGGCAGCUGAAGUGACAGUUUACCUCCGACGGGACCGCGGAGGACCUGCCCCCGUGUGCGGAAGGCUGAGAAAGGCGGCACAUGAAGAAAUGCUCAGAGACACUAAUCUAAGGUCACACACCUAGUGAGAAUACCCAGGAUCUGAAUGCAUGUGAAUUCCACCUCACAGUCAAAAUUGCCUGCUAAAUUUCCAGAUAUUCUGCCUGCAUUUAAACCAGCGGGAAAGAGGAAAGGACAAAGAAUUGGACUUUCCACGCUUUAAGAAAACUUUCUGGAUGUUGCCCAUCAAGACUUAAACUGAAACAUCAGAUCUUCCUGGAUCUGGAGCCUGCCAGCCUUCAGAUUGGAACUACAUCAUUGGCUCCCCUGGGUCUCCAGCUUGCCAAUUCACCCUGCAGAUCUUGGGACUUGUCAGCCUCCAUAUAGUGAUCAGGCUAUCACCACCUGAAAAUGGAAGAAGCCUGGGACCUGAAAUGGGCAGUGAAGGAGAGCCGUACAACCAAGAAUACCUGUGCUCCUGUGUAUCACUGAACAUCCAGUAUGUGCCUGGCACCAUGCACAGAGUGAGCCUGCAUCCGCAAGAUGCAAGCAUUUCUCACCUAAGCUGCCGCUGAGCUUCCA